GGGUCGCUGGCGAGGAUGUAUUCGGGGUUGAGGGUGCCGAUGGCGCCGGGGAUGCGCCCGGCGCCGAUGUUCUGCCCGCCGGCCAGCUC
rnacentral:tRNA from 1 species